AACGUAGGUACCGAGCGUUAUCCGGAUUUACUGGGCGUAAAGCGCGUUCAGGCGGUUUGGCAAGUCGGGCAUGAAAUCCUUCGGCUCAACCGGGGGAGGUUGUCCGAUACUGUCAGACUGGAGGGCAGUAGAGGGUGGUGGAAUUCCGGGUGUAGUGGUGAAAUGCGUAGAGAUCCGGAGGAACACCAGUGGCGAAAGCGGCCACCUGGACUGCACCUGACGCUGAAACGCGAAAGCUAGGGGAGCGAACGGGAUUAGAAACCCCGGUAGUCCUAGCUAUAAACGAUGUUGACUAGGUGUCGACGGGUUAAAAGCCGCCGGUGCCGGAGCAAACGCAUUAAGUCAACCGCCUGGGGACUACGGCCGCAAGGUUAAA
rnacentral:rRNA from 1 species